UACGUAGGUGGCAAGCGUUGUCCGGAUUUACUGGGCGUAAAGCGCGCGUAGGUGGUCUGCUAAGUUCAGGGUGAAAUCUCCCGGCUUAACCGGGAGGGGUCUUUGAAUACUGGUGGACUUGAGGGCAGCAGAGGUAGGUGGAAUUCCCGGUGUAGUGGUGAAAUGCGUAGAUAUCGGGAGGAACACCAGUGGCGAAGGCGGCCUACUGGGCUGUACCUGACACUGAGGCGCGAAAGCGUGGGGAGCGAACCGG
rnacentral:rRNA from 1 species